CUUUUUAGGGCCACACCCACAGCACACAGAGGUUUCCAGGCUAGGGGUCCAGUCUGAGCUGUAGCUGCUGGCCAAUCCCAGAGCCACAGCAACAAGGGAGACUCGCCAAGUCUGCGACCUACACCAGAGCUCACAGCAACAACAGAUCCUUAACCCACUGAGCGAGGCCUGGAUCAAACCCCUGUCCUUGUGAAUACUAGUCAGGUUUGUUAACCGCUGAGCCAUGAUGGGAGUUCCCUAUAUUGCUGUCUGAUUGUUCCCUCUGCAUAAAGGGGAAUUUCUUGAAGGUAAUUCAAGUUACUAAGAGACUUGCAUAUUGAAAUGUUAUAAUGAUAAUUUCUUUGUUUUAGGUCCAGGACUCUUACUUUUAUCCAGUUAAUGGAUCAAAACUGCCAAGACACAAAUCACUGGCAGAAGGAGAGGCCACAGCAGGAUAAACAAAACUUACGCAAAAUAUACUAAGUUAAGAAAAUCCUAUAAAGUACUGAUUGGCCGAGAAUAUACAAACAAAACUUAGGGAUUUGGGGGGUGUCAGAAAUAGCUAUAAUAUAAUAGAUACGCAUCUCUAUAUAAAUAUAGAUAUUUAUACAUGUAUGUAUGUGCUAUAUAUAAAAUUUAUAUUUUUACAUAUAUCUAUUCUUUUUAAGAAGCAAACACCAUUUUAAUGAAUCCAUCUUAUGCAUGAAAGUGUUAGAUACAAGAACACCCAAAAGAACUCUAUAACUGUAAUGAUAGGAUUAAUUGAAUAUGGGAUUUUGGCAUGAAUUUUACGCAAAUAAUAAAUAGUUAAUUUAACCAUAAAAUAAUUAACAGAACUCCACAAAUAAUAAAUAAUAGGUAGAUUCCUCUCUCAGUUUUAGGAAAAUCCUUGCUAAAAAACUCAAAUAGGAUUAUACAUGUCUACCACUUUUCACAUCCUGGUUUUCACGAAAAUAAUCUGAAGAGUCCAAGCAGAGAGUACAGAUAGGGGCACCACUUUUACCUAAGAAACUUUUUGACGGCAAUCAUAUUUAUUGAGAAUACCUGGUACACAUAAUCACUACCUACGCUUUGAUUGAUAUUUACACAUGGGUAUCUAAUGGGCAUCUGAAUAGACACACAGAAGCUCAGCAAAGCUAAAACAAAUGACCCCUAUGACAAUACUAUUUCUCCCAGAAUGUGACACCACCAUAUUCCAGGUUCCUAAAGACAAACAAGGAAUUAUCUCUGGUUUUAUAUUGUUUCUACACCAUGUAAUCUGACAGCAAAUCCUAUAGAUUCUGUCUUCAAAAUAUAAUAUGCAUAUGUUAAUUUUUCUCUAAUUGAGUUUCUAGCACCAUAACCCAAAUCACCAUCAUCACUUUCUCAACAACUCCAGGGGCCAAAUAGCCAGUCUUGCUUUUUCUGUCAUUGCCUUUCUGUGAUCCAUUCUCCAUAGAGCAGCCCAGAGAUCUCUGAAGCAUAAAAACUGAAUUAUGUCACUCCACCUGCCUAAAAUCCACAAGGAAUUUUCCAUCACGGUUAACACCAAAUCUAAACUCCUCUCACAAACCAAAGGGGAUUACAUGGACUGAUUCCUGCCUAUUUCCUUGAUCUCAUGGUAGAUAUUUCCCUUACACGUUUCCCUCACUCCUUCUGAGCAGCAACAGUAAACUCUGAGUGUUGUUAAAAGUUUCAGCCCCUCAGAAAAGGCAAAAUUCAUCUGCCUAUCUAUAAUUUUCCAAACCUCAUAAAAAUCUUAGAGGAGAAAUUACCUGUGAACUAAACAGCUUCAUAAAUAUCUUUUCUUUCCCUCUGAGUCAAGUACUUUAAAAGCACUUGUUUUUUCCAUAGAGAAUGCUCUUGGACAACAUAAUGGUUUAUGUGUUCCUUGUGUUUUGGUCACUCUAAGGAGAGCAGUAAUGUCUCUGUUGCCUUAUCAAACUUUCUUUUAAAAAUGUCUGUUUCUUAUUCUGUAUUUUUUUUCCUUUUAACACAUCCAUCAUAAAGUUACCUUUUGUUUCUUUGUUUAGGGAGAACAAUUCAGAUCAACUUUCUUAGCAAAUUUCAAGCAUACAACACAGCAUUAUUCACUAGAGUCACCAUACUAGACUAUUUUUAAACAUAUUUGUUAAAAGUAGAGAAAAUAUGAUUUCUAAAUGUUCAAGCCUCACCAUUAUAUUCUUUAAUGACUGCCAUUCAACACAUCAUGUUUCAGUCAUUCUGUAGUAAGCUAAUUGUUUUAACAAGACUAGAAAGUUCACUACUUAGGAGUUGAUUUCUCUUAUAAUUCCAGUCUUAGGAAAGUUUGAUACGAGAAAGCAGGUAUUUUACUGCAUCGAAUCUACUACAUUGUUUAGGUUUCCAAGUUUGGGGAAAUUAAAAAAGCAAAAACUCAAGUGUGGUUUGACCAAUGCAUCUUCUUGGUUCUAAGGAGGAAAAAAAACUUAAAAAAGAAAUCCACAUAGAUUAAGAAGCUUGUUGGAUACCCAGAAGCUCUUAGCAAACAUUAUUUUGAUGAGUUAAGUGUAAAUGAAUCACAACACAUGGACUAAAUUCCCUUGAAAAAGCACGUAAGUUGAAAAUAGAAGGACAUAGCUUUGGGGAAAAUAUAUUAUGGUUUCUACCAUAACCCAAACAUUUACAUAAUUUACAUUUACAUAAUACCUUGAACCAUUUCAUAACCUGAAAGUACAUCUGAAUCCAUCCAAUUCCAUUAAGUUUUUUCCAAUAAAUAAAUGCUUCAGAAUCAAUUAGAGUAGUUGAAUACACAAAACCUCUCAUUUUCUCAUGAGAAGGAAAUUUUCAGUUUCUCUCUUUGCUAUUUCUAGUACAUAAACUACUGACAUUUAAAAAAUAUAUAUAUAUGAUUGAGAAUGCCUGUCCAUUUAUUCUAAAAAAAAAAAGGUAAUAUAUACACACAUAUGCAAGCACAUACCAGAGACAGAGAUCAGUCCUUAAGGAAAUGGAUAGACAUUUAAAACAUUGGACAGUGGAAAAAAAUCACACAGAAAAUACUAAGGGUUAAUUUGACAAACUGCCAGAUUGUCAGAAUUUGGUUCAUUUUGUUUGAAUUUUAAAUAAGUAUAAAUGUUGACUGUGUAUACCACACUUAGGAAAAAUGUCUAGUGGGCUUAGAUCAUGAAAUGCAGAAGAUUGCCAGAAAGAAUUAAUUUGCCAUAAAUACAUUUACCAUAGUUCUUUGGAAAACCAAAGUUACUUUUCCUUUCUCUCAGUGUUAAUGCUUCCUAGGGUUCCAGGAGAAAGAGGUGCCUGGAGCUCCCCUCAUUCUACUGAAAUUCCUUGUGUGUUGACUUGGUGGGGUCUCACAACACUUGGAGGUUCCAGCUUCCUUUGGGACGACCUCAGAAAGGGAAGAUCAUCUCAUCUGCUCCCACUCAUUCAAACACUAUGGAUCAAUUUUCAGGCAGUAUUUGACUCCCCUUCCCCCCCCCCAAAAAAAAACUGUUUUGGGCCAUCUUUUGUGUUUUUUGCAAGAGAUCUUGUACCUGGGAAUAUGGCAACCAUCAAAGAGAUAAUCAUUUUUGUAGGUCUAUAGAUCUCUCAACUUCCUGAAAUUCCAGAAAGGCAGGAAGCCAUUUUUUAAUGUUUGUCUCAUCACCCAUUCUACUGUGCCCAUGGUAGGAAAAUAACAAAAGGCAAAUCAGCAAGCCAUGAUAAGAUAAUUAAAUGGUGCUUUUUGUAGAGUUACAUAGGUAAGAACACAGUUGCAUCACUUUCUCUUCCCAUGCUUCUUUCUUCCCUUCCUUUAUUUCCCUGCCUUCCAAAAUCAAAGGCAGAAAUUGACCUUCAUGUACUGUGCCAUCCUAUAAAUCCCUAAACUUUAGAGACAAAUCCGUUCAUAUAUCCAUGAGAGCUUAAGGCCUGGACUGCCAUUCUAAUUUUACUCUCAUCUGUUAGGCAAGGAGUUUGAAAUACCUCUUUUAAUGAAUUGCUUGUCUUAUUCCACUGAGAACCUUGAAGUUAAUCCUGCUUAAAGUGCUGUAUAGCAGGGUUUUAUUCAAGAGAUCUAUCCUUCAGAUCAUUCUUACGACUUAGACAUUAGACUACAAACCAGAAGCAAGUCUAAUUUCUAUGGAAGAAAGUAGAUUUAAUUUCAUAACAAAAACUUAUUUUCCCNUUUUUUUUUUUUUUUUGCUAUUUCUUUGGGCUGCUUCCAUGGCAUA
rnacentral:lncRNA from 1 species